rnacentral:misc_RNA from 1 species
AGAAAAUAUUAUAAGCGACAUCAAUUUGGAUCUGAAUUGCUAGAGCACAAAUAAAACAAAAAUCAUCAUGAAAUGACUCAAGGAAACAAGAAUUCAACAGCACUAAUAAAGGGGUAUACCGGUAUCACACCAUCAAAGAUUACCAUACACAUGAAAAAAGUUCCAAUGUUAUCAAGCAUUGCAGUUGUAAAGCAGAUCACAGGAUUCAGCUUUCACGUACAUCUUGGACACAGGAAAAAGAAUUGUAUGGUUGC